AGAGAAGCUUGCUUCUUUUGGAAUCGAGUGGCAAACGGGUGAGUAACACGUAAACAACCUGCCUUCAGGAUGGGGACAACAGACGGAAACGACUGCUAAUACCGAAUACGCUUGGAAGACCGCAUGAUCUUCCAAGGAAAGGGUGGCCUCUACCUGUAAGCUAUCGCCUGAAGAGGGGUUUGCGCCUGAUUAGGCAGUUGGUGAGGUAACGGCCCACCAAACCUACGAUCAGUAGCCGGUCUGAGAGGAUGAACGGCCACACUGGAACUGAGACACGGUCCAGACUCCUACGGGAGGCAGCAGUGGGGAAUCUUCCGCAAUGGGCGAAAGCCUGACGGAGCAACGCCGCGUGAGUGAUGACGGCCUUCGGGUUGUAAAGCUCUGUGAUCGGGGACGAACGGUCCGUAAGCUAAUACCUUAUGGAAGUGACGGUACCCGAAUAGCAAGCCACGGCUAACUACGUGCCAGCAGCCGCGGUAAUACGUAGGUGGCAAGCGUUGUCCGGAAUUAUUGGGCGUAAAGCGCGCGCAGGCGGCUUUCUAAGUCCAUCUUAAAAGUGCGGGGCUUAACCCCGUGAUGGGAUGGAAACUGGAAAGCUGGAGUAUCGGAGAG
rnacentral:rRNA from 1 species